rnacentral:rRNA from 1 species
CCAGACUCCUACGGGAGGCAGCAGUGGGGAAUAUUGCACAAUGGGGGGAACCCUGAUGCAGCGACGCCGCGUGGGCGAGGAAGUAUUUCGGUAUGUAAAGCCCUAUCGGCAGGGAAGAAGAAAUGACGGUACCUGAAUAAGAAGCACCGGCUAAAUACGUGCCAGCAGCCGCGGUAAUACGUAUGGUGCAAGCGUUAUCCGGAUUUACUGGGUGUAAAGGGGGCGCAGACGGCGAUGCAAGCCAGGAGUGAAAGCCCGGGGCCCAACCCCGGGACUGCUCUUGGAACUGCGUGGCUGGAGUGCAGGAGGGGCAGGCGGAAUUCCUGGUGUAGCGGUGAAAUGCGUAGAUAUCAGGAGGAACACCGGUGGCGAAGGCGGCCUGCUGGACUGCAACUGACGUUGAGGCCCGAAAGCGUGGGGAGCAAACAGGAUUAGAUACCCGCGUAAG